rfam:Triticum aestivum genome assembly, contig: Triticum_aestivum_CS42_TGACv1_scaffold_222831_3B
CAAGUACUCCCUCCGACUCAAAAAACUUGUCUUACAUUUGUCCUAAAUACGGAUGUAUCUAGACAAAUUUUAAUGUUAGAUACAUCCAAAUCUAGAUAAAUGUAAGACAACUUUUUCGGGGCAGAAGUAAUAUCUA